rnacentral:rRNA from 1 species
UAAUACGAAGGGGGCUAGCGUUGCUCGGAAUUACUGGGCGUAAAGGGAGCGUAGGCGGACAUUUAAGUCAGGGGUGAAAUCCCGGGGCUCAACCUCGGAAUUGCCUUUGAUACUGGGUGUCUUGAGUGUGAGAGAGGUAUGUGGAACUCCGAGUGUAGAGGUGAAAUUCGUAGAUAUUCGGAAGAACACCAGUGGCGAAGGCGACAUACUGGCUCAUUACUGACGCUGAGGCUCGAAAGCGUGGGGAGCAAACAGGAUUAGAUACCCUGGUAGUCCACGCCGUAAACGAUGAUUGCUAGUUGUUGGGGAGUUUACUUCUCGGUGACGCAGCUAACGCAUUAAGCAAUCCGCCUGGGGAGUACGGUCGCAAGAUUAAA